rnacentral:rRNA from 1 species
GACGAACGCUGGCGGCGUGCUUAACACAUGCAAGUCGAACGGAAAGGCCCUGCUUUUGUGGGGUGCUCGAGUGGCGAACGGGUGAGUAACACGCGAGUAACCUGCCCUUGACUUUGGGAUAACUUCAGGAAACUGGGGCUAAUACCGGAUAUGAGCUCCUGCUGCAUGGUGGGGGUUGGAAAGUUUCGGCGGUUGGGGAUGGACUCGCGGCUUAUCAGCUUGUUGGUGGGGUAGUGGCUUACCAAGGCUUUGACGGGUAGCCGGCCUGAGAGGGUGACCGGCCACAUUGGGACUGAGAUACGGACCAGAAUCCUACGGGAGGCAGCAGUGGGGAAUAUUGCACAAUGGGCGGAAGCCUGAUGCAGCAACGCCGCGUGCGGGAUGACGGCCUUCGGGUUGUAAACCGCUUUCGCCUGUGACGAAGCGUGAGUGACGGUAAUGGGUAAAGAAGCACCGGCUAACUACGUG